ensembl:snRNA LOC120103204 U6 spliceosomal RNA
GUGCUAGCUUCAGCAGCACAUGUGUUAAAAUUGAAACAAUACAGAGAUUAGCAUGUCCUCUGUGCAAGAAUAACAUGCAAAUUCGUGAAAUGUGCCAUAUUUUU